UAUUUCUGAGAUUCUUGGUUAUCAGAUCUAUAAGGGACUUUGCAUUAUCACCAAUCAGUAUGUACCUGGAGAUCCUACUCGUCCUUUACACAAUUGUGAUUAUUAUAAACAGGACGAAGCUGGAAAGCUACUAAAAAAUCUAAUGAAAUUAGGUUCAACAAAACAUUGGCGAGAUGCAAUGGAAUUGGUUACCAAAGAAAGAAAAUUAAAUGGCAAAGCUAUUAUGGAGUAUUAUGAGCCAUUGUAUCAUUGGCUGAAGGAGGAGAAUAAGCGAAAUAAUGUACCAGUUGGAUGGGAUGCAAGUGCAACUAAUUGUCAAGAAAAGGAUUAAAGAUGAGUUCUGACUGGAAGAAGUUAUUAAUUGAAUGAAAAUUAAAGUUUAUUUUAAUUAAAUAAAAAGAUUUAUAGAUUAUAUAAAGUUUAUUCUGUUGAAUAAAAAGUAAAGCCAAAUUGGCUUAAUUAUAAUGAAAA